rnacentral:lncRNA from 1 species
AAAUAAUUAGGACUCGAACUUAAUCUUUCAUAAUUUUUUGAAUCAUAGAUUUGAUCAAAUUCAUCCUUAGAAUUAAACCUAUGCCUCAUUUGCCGUGCUAGUUGGAUAAAGUCAAUAUUUAAUUUCAUAUGACAUAUAACUUAAUUCUUAAUUAAGUUAAUCUAUAUAUUCAAUCAAGUCUUAUACUUUUAAAUUGAAUACAUAAAUAUUCGAUCAAUUUUUUUCUACAUUGUU